rnacentral:rRNA from 1 species
GACGAACGCUGGCGGCGUGCCUAAUACAUGCAAGUCGAACGCAGUGGGGACGGGUGAGUAACACGUGGGUAACCUCCCAUCAGAGGGGAUAACACUUGGAAACAGGUGCUAAACCGAUACUGAUGGAUGGAACCGCGGUGCAUUAUCUAGUUGGUGAGGGAACGGCUCACCAAGGCCACGAUGCAUAGCCGACCGUAGAGGGAGAACGGUCACACCGGGACUGAGACACGUCCCAGACUCCUACGGAAGGUAGAAGUAGGGAAUCUUCGGCAAUGAGCGAAAGUCUGACAGAUCAACGCCGCGUGAGUGAAGAAGGUUUUCGGAUCGUAAAACUCUGUUGUUAGAGAAGCGGUAUCUAACCAGAAAGCCACGGCUAACUACGUGCCAGCAGCCGCGGUAAUUC